GGCGCUGUGGCUUAGUUGGUUAAAGCACCUGUCUCACAAACAGUAGAUCCUGAGUUUGAUUUUCUUACCUUCA
rnacentral:tRNA from 1 species